rnacentral:rRNA from 1 species
CACGUAGGGGACGAGCGUUGUCCGGAUUCAUUGGGCGUAAAGCGCGCGUAGGCGGCUCGGAAAGUCGGUCGUGAAAUGCCGGGGCUCAACCCCGGGACUGCGUCCGAUACUCCCGAGCUGGAGGCAGGUAGGGGAGAUCGGAAUUCCUGGUGGUAGCGGUGAAAUGCGCAGAUAUCAGGAGGAACACCGAUGGCGAAGGCAGGUCUCCUGGGCCGAAUGACUGACGUGAGGAGCGAAAGCGUGGGGAGCGAACAGGAAU